AUAUAUAGGCCAACCAAAUUCUAGGAAGUUGGUGAGGCUGACUCAAUAAGCUUUGAUUUGAUGUCAGUUUAUGUUGUUCAUUGAUUCUUAGAUGUGAGCAUUUAUAUAUUUAUAUUUAAGUUUGGUUAUAUUUAUAUAUUUAUAUUCAAGUGGUUUAGGUAGAAUUUAGUUAGUAGAAAUUUUGGUUCGGUCAACUGGAUUUAAGCACCUAAUUGGUCCUCAAAAAUGAGAGAAAAGUUUUUGAUGUUGCCUGCAUUUGAAGAUCUUUUCCAGUAACCAAUAAGAUUAUGCCUUCAAAACUUAAUGGUAUAUCUUCCUUGAAAGUUCUGAUCCUUCUGGGCAUCCGCUCAAUAUUUUGUGGUGGUUCUUCAGGAUCUCUCUCUUUUAUGUCAAUGGCAUCUCAUACUAGAAUUGUUCUGGUGCCAUAAUAUCUCUCUCUUUUCUUCUGUCCUCUCUCAUUUUUUUUGUGAUUGAAAACUUUCAUGUUCUUGAUUUGAAGUUGUACUUCCACUUCUGUUCUUUGUAAUUUAUUGCAUGCUUGUGUUUAUGUUUGGACAUUUAACCAACGUGUGAUACUGAACUAAACUUUUAAAUGGUUUUUAACCUAUGGCAUUAAAUGAAUUUGAUUUAACA
rnacentral:misc_RNA from 1 species